rnacentral:rRNA from 1 species
UACGGGGGGGGCAAGCGUUGUUCGGAAUUACUGGGCGUAAAGCGCACGUAGGCGGACAUUUAAGUCAGGGGUGAAAUCCCGGGGCUCAACCCCGGAACUGCCUUUGAUACUGGGUGUCUAGAGUAUGGAAGAGGUGAGUGGAAUUCCGAGUGUAGAGGUGAAAUUCGUAGAUAUUCGGAGGAACACCAGUGGCGAAGGCGGCUCACUGGUCCAUUACUGACGCUGAGGUGCGAAAGCGUGGGGAGCAAACAGG